GGUGUCCAGAGGACCCGAGCAGGGUCAGAAACCCUUUUACCACAAAGAGCCAAAGAUUAAAGACAAGGAGGAGCUGAAAAAAGUGCAGCCUCAAAUGGACAAGACGAUCCAGCAGGUCUCCUGGGCUCAAGUCGCAAUGAUGAAGGGCAGCGGUGGAGGAGCCAGGGCCAGUGAGUCAGCGCUUCAGUCCAGCCCCUCACCUCAACCCCCCAACACUCCUCAACAGUGCCCAGACGCCAUGAAACCUCUGGGAAGCAUACCGGAAGAAAGCGCAGGACGCGCAGGAAGCCGCUGAGCUCUGCGCCUCCUUUGUAACCCGUUCACCAGACUGUCUGCACAACCAGGACAUCGUCUCCGCACUGCAUAUUAGAUUAGAC